CGGAAAGCCUGACGCAGCAACGCCGCGUGCGGGAUGAAGGCCUUCGGGUUGUAAACCGCUUUCAGCAGGGAUGAAACUGACAGUACCUGCAGAAGAAGCCCCGGCUAACUACGUGCCAGCAGCCGCGGUAAUACGUAGGGGGCAAGCGUUAUCCGGAUUCAUUGGGCGUAAAGAGCGCGUAGGCGGCUUGUUAAGCGAGAUGUGAAAACCGGGGGCUUAACCCGCGGCCUGCAUCUCGAACUGGCAGGCUUGAGUCUGGUAGAGGAGUGUGGAAUUCCCAGUGUAGCGGUGAAAUGCGCAGAUAUUGGGAGGAACACCAGUGGCGAAGGCGGCACUCUGGGCCACGACUGAUGCUGAGGCGCGAAAGCUAGGGGAGCGAACAGGAUUAGAUACCCUGGUAGUCCUAGCCGUAAACGAUGGGCACUAGGUGUGGGGGGUACAACUCCCUCCGUGCCGCAGCUAACGCAUUAAGUGCCCCGCCUGGGGAGUACGGCCGCAAGGCUA
rnacentral:rRNA from 1 species